CGUGAAAUUGUUGAAAGGGAAGCGUUUAUGACCAGACUUGGGCUUGGUUAAUCAUCUGGGGUUCUCCCCAGUGCACUUUUCCAGUUCAGGCCAGCAUCAGUUUUCCCCGGGGGAUAAAGGCGGCGGGAAUGUGGCUCUCUUCGGGGAGUGUUAUAGCCCGCCGUGUAAUUCCCUGGGGGGGACUGAGGUUCGCGCAUCUGCAAGGAUGCUGGCGUAAUGGUCAUCAACGACCCGUCUUGAAACACGG
rnacentral:rRNA from 1 species